GCCACCUCUCCGUAGUGAUAAACCUUUAAUCGCCCCCUCAGACCCGGCUCUUUCCUAUCUUUUAUCGCCAGGUUGUGUUAGGUAGGAGUUCAGCAAAGAAAUGAUUCAGCCCAUACAUGUUUGAAGCGCCGCGUGCCACGAAAAGGAAAAGUGAUUAGAAAAUAAUCUCGAACGGCGAUCACUAUUUAUGAAACCCAUUUUUGAUCUUUGUACCAAGGGCUUGUCUUUCCAGUGGGAGCUGAAAUGCCUGUUUUUAUCGGGCAUUUGGAAUAAAGUAUAUGAAUGAACUGUAGAGAUUACCGGUCCAGCCCCCCCCCGCCCCCCACCCUUUUUUUUUUACAGAUUGGGAAACUGAGGCCCAGGGAGAUCUGGAGUGAAUUGUCCAGCUCGAGGGCACACCGCUACUUGCAAUGGCGUAGCCCUAUAGCUAGAGUGGAGAUACCCACUUCCCAGCUUUCUUUUAAAUAUUAGACGCAGAAAAAAAUAUAUAUAUAUUAGACGCAGAGAUGGUUUAACAGGCAGAGGAGGCUCCCCCUGGCGCGCCCGGAGUCCAGAGACCAGAAACCAAGGCCCUCUCGGUCCUUUAACCCCACUUUCCUUUAAGCACGGUCCCCCCAGGUAUUCGCGCUGAGAAAUUUCGCUCCUCGCAAACAAAGAAAGACAGUGCCCUCUGAAGUCCUUUGUUCGCAUUAACUCGUCAGCUUCACCACGAGCCUUUACAAAUCUGCUUCAUAUUUUAACUUAUUAUGCAGAGUCGCGGCUCCAGACUGCUCCACAAAGCCAGAGAGGCCAGAUCAGUAACCGAUCAGACCCAAGUGCAGGGGGUCUGCGAGCUGCAAGGUAAAGAGACCGGUUACUUACCAAAUCUUCGGGGACCUGUACCUAGAUGACCCUGCCUAGGAAUAACACAUGUCCUCAGUUCCUUUGGUCGGCUGGAGAUCUUGCCACCGGAAGCUGCUGAGCUAAGAACAGGCCAUCUGUUUCUCUUUGCUCAGUAGGCGGGACUGAGACAAGAGAGAACUCCAUCUGGCCAUCCUGUCUUCCACCCACGCUGUUUUCCUGUAUCUUUUCUACCUAAUGUGGCCACCUUUCUACACUUGAAGAAAAGAGAAGCGGAAAAAAGUUGUGGUCUGGAAAAUCUUGAACGUAUUCAGUGACUAUAUACAUUCACUUCAUCUGCCUUAGGGAGAUAAGCGGCAUGGAGGAAGGGAAAAGAAAUUACUUACUCUAUGGGUUAUAAAAACUGGAAGACAAAUGACCUACAAACCGUACAGUGGUUUGCUUGAGCCAUGCCUGAUAAGUUUUCAGGCCUAUAGGCACUUUCUAAUGUUUACUUCACAGCUGAAAGUGAUUUGGCAAUUUAGGAUCACAGCCAUUCAAACUGUUAUUCCUCCAGCGUCUCUCAGUCAGUCCUAAAGGUAGUUCUUAUCACUUCACUUACUGGAGGAAAAGGGUCAGCAAGUCUUGUAUUUAUACAGGAAGAACUCUCUAGAUAGACUUGUGAUCAAACCGGAUGAUAUAGACUUCGGAGAUACAAGUCAUAAACAUCUUGGGAAACUCUACAGACAUCCCUGUUGUAGAAUGGCCACCACCUCCCUCAAGAUGUUAGGCCGGUCCCCUGGGCCCCUGGGAGCUGGUCCUCGCCUCUGCCUUGUGACAGCAAACCAAGGGCUCGUUUUUAAUGCUAUUAGGAAGCUGUGCCCAAGGCUUUGGCCUUGUUAUCUCCCUUAACAAUGUUAUUUUGUUAGGCUGCAAAAUAAGCAGCAUGGGGUUAAAUGUAUUAGCUGCCUUCAAACCUAAUUUAUCUUCAUUCCAUCCUAAUUUACACUUGGGCUGAAUUAAUGAGAAUGAUUUAAUUAACACCCUGCGACCAUAGUACCAGGAACAGGACAGCUCAGGGGAUUAGACCAAGCAGUGGGCUAAGCAGCUGCCGUCCUGCCUCCUGUGGUCCCCUGCACGCCCCACCCGCCUUUCAGAGACGCUGCCUGCCGCUCUUCCAAAAGUGUCCUCUUUGUUCUGUGUACCUCUUUUUGAGUGUGUGUAAGGAAGAUGGCAUGGUUUCCUUCCUCGUGUGACUUGUGAGAUAGGCGUGUGGAGUCAGCGGGGCCUGGAGCCCAGUAGAGGUUUGUGCUCUUGCUCCCCCAGUGUCAGAUUCGCGCUGAACUGAACACGCAGCUGGAGGUGACACGCACACCUCCCACCCCUUCCCGGCCCGGCGUGGGUGCUGAGCGCGGGCAUGCUUGUGUCCUGGGCUGCUGUGGAAGGAGAGAAGGGCGGCAGGGUGGGCAGGGGGAGAGGCUGAGCUGGGACGCAGUCUCGAGAAAUGACGCCGUGGGUUGUCCCCAGGUAAGCUGAGAAGGCCAGGCUUUCGAUGGCUGUUUCACCAGUUGCAGAAGGCAGGCUGCCCAGGAGAGGGGCCGUGGCAUGCACGUUCCGCAGAGGCAGUUCUGAGGACUGCUGCUCGCAUCUCCGGGGCCAGGCACGCUGUCCUUCAUUCUCCAAGGAGAUUCUGAGGCGCUCAGAGCGAUGCCUGCUUUGACUCUUCACCCUCCCACACAGACAACAAGCCUACAAACCUAGGCAAAUGAGGCUUCAGUUCCUACCAGCAAAACUCUUUAAUAAACGGGAGAAUUUUUUUUUUAAUUUGAGUAUUGAUUAAAAAGACAAGGAUAGGAAAAAAGUAAAGUAAUCAAUGCAAGGAGUCAUCAGCAUUGUUCAAGUCAGUUAUUUGUCUCUCUGGGAAGAAACAAGAGAUCUAAACUGAUAGUUGUCUAAAUUUUGGUUUACCACCUGCUGCAUUUAUAUCUUUUUAACUGUAUUUGCAUUGAACAUGUCAUGAUAAACUUUGAGAGUAUUCUUAGAAUUGGAUCCAAAUUGGCAUGGUCAUAUUAUAAGUUUUUACUUGUUUCCUAAAAGCGUCUGUCAGAAAAAAAAAGGCAACCCACUCCUGUAUUCUUGCCCAGAGAAAUCCAUGGACAGAGGAGCCUGCGGGCUACAGUCCAUGGGGUCACAAAGAGUUGGACACGACUGAUGUGACUUAGCACGCGAAUCCAUUAUAUGUGUGACUACUUUACAUGUAUUUUGUGAAUUAAAUUGGAUUAUAGUGUGACUUUUUAAUUUCCAAUUAUUCAUUGCUGCUCUAUAGGAAUACAGGGGACUUGUGUAUAAUGAUGUUUGGUGGAAAGUCGUGUGUGGCAGUGUAUUUGUAACCUUCAGUGCCGAGCACCACCAUGGGACUGUACCCCUCUAUUCAGGGUGAGAGCUGGGGAAUUCAUUCUUUCUAUGAGACUCGCUUUCCACAUCCCCAAGUGACAUGGCAAGUGGUAGUAUAUUGACUGCUUACAGGACUGCAGAGGGACACGUUUGAGGCACUUUUGCUUGGUGUUUCUCGAUAAGGUCCUGGUCAUUAGUAAAUCAAGCCAUUCAGACUUGUUCUAUUGCAGGGCCGUUUAAAACAAAGAUCUUCACAACCUGUGGUGGGUUAUUGAUUUUAGGGUCAAGUUUUUAAAGCUGCAUUUAUUAUGUUCUCUCUGAUCACAAAAGUACUGUAUGGUAGAAGGUUGGGGAAAAAACAGAAAAGUAAAAGAAAAAAUUAGAGAUAAUGACACUUAGCAUUUAAAUUCUAGUCUUUCUGUAUCCACAUGGUAUUUUAUUUUUGGCAGUUAAUUGGUUAAGGGCAGAGACUCUGGAACCAAGCUGAAAUUCCUGCUUUGACAUUUACUAACGAGGUGUUUGGAGGCCAAGUAUUGUAAUACCUGGGUGCCUUAGCUUCCCAAGUUGCAAUAUGAGCUAAUAACAGUACCUGGCUCAGAGGUUUGUUUGGCUGUUUAAUAAAUUAUUAUAUGUAAAGUGAGUAGAACAGAGCCCGGCUAGUGGUAAGUGCUAUAUGAUGGCUCCUUUUAUGAUUCUGUAGUCAACUGUUUGAGAAUGAUAUUCCUACAACCCCAUAAUUUUUUCCUAGGUAGUCUCCUAAUAAAGACUUGAAUCCUUAUCAAAGCUGCUAUAAAUAUUUCUACAACCUGCCCAAUAGCACUGGAUUAAAGGACUUUUCCGGUCUUGAAUUAAUUUAUUAAUACAUAUGAUUUUGGAGUGUUUGUCUGAGGCUGUGCUUCUCUCAAACCCAACUUGUGCAAAAACACUCAAAUUCAUGGAAGUCACCGCUGCUUCCUUCCAUCUCUUACUGACACUUUCUUCUUUUUGUCCUGAUUGUUCUUCUGUUGAUGAUGGAGAAACAAUUCACCUUCCAUCAUCUUAAAAACUAAGCAGAUGAAAGGGGAAAGUAUUUAAGAAAUUAUAUUUUUUUAAAAGCAGUUUUUAGAAGGCAGCAGGCCAAAACAGUGCACAUGUGAAGCACAGCCCCUGCUUCUUCCUGCCCUGAGAUGCUGGUGGAAGACUAGAUAAAAGCCCACUCCUGACUGUCAGAAUCACACUGGGACCUCUGCAGGGUGUGGUCUUUCACAGCCCAGGGGCAUCUGAAACCAUUUUUCUUUGCUUCUCCAUAAUUUUUGAGUUUCCCAAAGCCCGUGGAUCUAAACUCUUAAUUUGUCCUAAGUAAUUACAUUGAAGAAUUGAUCGUUGUUCCAAGCCGUGAAAUGAGUUUUCUUUGGCCUAUAGGCUUUACUCCAGGGCAAGACGCCAAGUCUGAGCAUGUCUGGGCAUGAGAAAGGGGCCCGAAGAAGGGACCUUUGUGGUCCAUGAGCUCCUACCUUUGAAUGAGUGAAUAUUAAGAGGAUUUUAUGGCGCACUGUGAGCACACACUUGACUCAGACCAGAGUCUGAAAUCAGGAAGCUGCAAGUCAGAAGAAAGAAAGAAUGAACAAGAAGAGAGAUGCUGACAAAAAAGUUUUUUUCCCCUUCCUGGUUACUUAAGAAAGGAAACUGUCUUCCCGAACAAAGCCACGAAUGGGACACUACGGGGCAGGCCAGAGAAGCAGGGCCACAGUGCAGAACUGGGGUGAAGCAACAGUGCCCUCUUCUGACCGCAAUGAAGAAUCACACAAAAUUCAAGAUGCUCAGACCCUAGAGAUCUGCUUUAGGACUUGGUGCCUGUAGGUAACAAUAGUGUAUUGUGUACUUGACAUUUUGCCAAGAGGGUAGGUCUUUUAUUAAGUGUUCGUAUCACAAAAUUUUAAUAAUAAAUAAAAGGACAGGAGGAAACUUGGAGGUGAUGGAUAUGUUCAUGGCUUAGAUUGCAGUGAUAGUAUAGACUUAAUCCCAGAUUCAUCAAGUUGUAUAUAUUAAAAAUGUAUAGCUUUUUGGAACAUAUUUGAGUCAGUUCUAAUGAAGUGGAUGAACCUAGAGCC